rnacentral:rRNA from 1 species
GACCUCCACUGGCUCAGAUUGAACGCUGGCGGCAGGCUUAACACAUGCAAGUCGAACGGUAACAUGAGUGCUUGCACUUGAUGACGAGUGGCGGACGGGUGAGUAAGGUAUGGGGAUCUGCCGAAUGGAGAGGGACAACAGUUGGAAACGACUGCUAAUACCGCAUAAAGUUGAGAGACCAAAGCGUGGGACCUUCGGGCCACGUGCCAUUUGAUGAACCCAUAUGGGAUUAGCUAGUUGGUGGGGUAAAGGCNCACCAAGGCGACGANNNNUAGCNGGUCUGAGAGGAUGACCAGCCACACUGGAACUGAGACACGGUCCAGACUCCUACGGGAGGCAGCAGUGGGGAAUAUUGCACAAUGGGGGAAACCCUGAUGCAGCCAUGCCGCGUGUAUGAAGAAGGCCUUCGGGUUGUAAAGUACUUUCGGUAAUGAGGAAGGUGNUGUAUCUAAUAGGUNUANCAAUUGACGUUAAUUACAGAAGAAGCACCGGCUAACUCCGUGCCAGCAGCCGCGGUAAUACGGAGGGUGCGAGCGUUAAUCGGAAUGACUGGGCGUAAAGGGCAUGUAGGCGGAUGAUUAAGUUAGGUGUGAAAGCCCUGGGCUCAACCUAGGAAUUGCACUUAAAACUGGUUAUCUGGAGUAUUGUAGAGGAAGGUAGAAUUCCACGUGUAGCGGUGAAAUGCGUAGAGAUGUGGAGGAAUACCGGUGGCGAAGGCGGCCUUCUGGACAGAUACUGACGCUGAGNUNCGANAGCNUGGGNAGCNAACAGGAUUAGAUACCCUGGUAGUCCACGCUGUAAACGAUGUCGAUUUGGAGUUUGUUGCCUAGAGUGAUGGGCUCCGAAGCUAACGCGAUAAAUCGACCGCCUGGGGAGUACGNCCGCAAGGUUAAAACUCAAAUGAAUUGACGGGGGCCCGCACAAGCGGUGGAGCAUGUGGUUUAAUUCGAUGCAACGCGAAGAACCUUACCUGGUCUUGACAUCCAUAGAAUUCUGCAGAGAUGUGGAAGUGCCUUCGGGAGCUAUGAGACAGGUGCUGCAUGGCUGUCGUCAGCUCGUGUUGUGAAAUGUUGGGUUAAGUCCCGCAACGAGC